rnacentral:rRNA from 1 species
UACGAAGGGGGCUAGCGUUGUUCGGAUUUACUGGGCGUAAAGCGCACGUAGGCGGAUCGUUAAGUUGGGGGUGAAAUCCUGGAGCUCAACUCCAGAACUGCCUUCAAUACUGGCAAUCUAGAGUCCGGAAGAGGUGAGUGGAACUCCUAGUGUAGAGGUGGAAUUCGUAGAUAUUAGGAAGAACACCAGUGGCGAAGGCGGCACACUGGUCCGGUACUGACGCUGAUGCGCGAAAGCGUGGGGAGCAAACAGG